AUAGCGUAUAUUAAAGUUGUUGCAGUUAAAAAGCUCGUAGUUGAAUUUCGGGAUCAGUUUGUUGGUCGUGCUUCGGUACGUACUGUCAUUACUGGUUUCUACCUUCUGAAGAACCUUGAUGUCAUUAAUUUGGUGUCUUGGGGAAUCAGGACUGUUACUUUGAAAAAAUUAGAGUGUUUAAAGCAAGCAUACGCUUGAAUACAUUAGCAUGGAAUAAUGAAAUAGGACGUUUGAUUCUAUUUUGUUGGUUUCUAGGAUCGACGUAAUGAUUAAUAGGGAUAGUUGGGGGCAUUAGUAUUCAAUUGUCAGAGGUGAAAUUCUUGGAUUUAUUGAAGACUAACUACUG
rnacentral:rRNA from 1 species